GAAAGGCAACAUGAGAGAAAACCUGUCUCCUAAGGAAUGCCAAUGAAAUUGAACUGCCAGUUCAAAAGCUGGUAUAAAAAAGCAAGACAAAAAGACCCUGUGGAACUUUAAUUAACUGCUUUACAUAAUAAAACCAGUAAUUUCAGUUGGGACAACUUUAGAAAAAAUAAACUUCCUAAUUUUACUAGACUAACUAGUCCAAAACAACCAUGACCCAGUAGUACUGAUUAACGAAACAAGCUACCCCAGGGAUAACAGCGCUACCUUCUCAAAGAGUUCAUAUCAACAAGAAGAUCUACGACCUCGAUGUUGGAUCAGGGUACCCAGACGGUGCAGCAGCUGUCAAUGGUUCGUUUGUUCAACGAUUAAUACCCU
rnacentral:rRNA from 1 species